rnacentral:rRNA from 1 species
AGUGAACGCUGGCGGUAGGCCUAACACAUGCAAGUCGAACGGCAGCACAGUAAGAGCUUGCUCUUACGGGUGGCGAGUGGCGGACGGGUGAGGAAUACAUCGGAAUCUACUUUUUCGUGGGGGAUAACGUAGGGAAACUUACGCUAAUACCGCAUACGACCUACGGGUGAAAGCAGGGGAUCUUCGGACCUUGCGCGAUUGAAUGAGCCGAUGUCGGAUUAGCUAGAUGGCGGGGUAAAGGCCCACCAAGGCGACGAUCCGUAGCUGGUCUGAGAGGAUGAUCAGCCACACGGGAACGGGGAAACGGUCCAAACUCCUACGGGGGGCGGCGGUGGGGAAUUUUGGAAAAGGGGCGAAAGCCUUAUCCAGCCAUACCGGGUGGGUGAAGAAGGCCUUCGGGUUGUAAAGCCCUUUUGUGGGGAAAGAAAAGCAGCAGGUUAAUACCCCGCUGUUCUGGCGGUACCCAAAAAAUAAGCACCGGCUAACUUCGU